rnacentral:ncRNA from 1 species
UUAUCGGGAAUGAAGUUCUCCCUUAGUAGAAAUGCUAGAACCGCUAAUAAGCUGAUGACUUCUGCGACU